rnacentral:lncRNA from 1 species
GAAUAAUUCGGAGUCAGCUGGUUGAAUCCAGGCCUUGGUGGAAGCAAAAUCACUGCCCUGGUAUUGAGAGAGGGCCAAAAUCAAGGAUCUUCCAUUUUUCUCCUGUGUGAGAACUCCCUCCCAGAAGGCCAAGGGAAGGAGAGAAACCAGGCUACCUCUGACAUUGUUACAGGUAGUGACCUUACCUUACAGGAAGUAAUCUUCCCUUACAGGAAUUAAUCUUCCCUUGCAGGAAGUGAUCUUCUCUUACAGGAAGUUUGCCCAAACCUUCUCUCCAAGCCUAAGGUGACCCAGGGAAGAAAUGUGACUCUGUAGUGCCACAGGCCAGAAUAUGCUUGAACAUGUGAUGUUGGUUCUCCUGAAGACAAGUACUAGAAAGCAUGUACAGCACCAUAGACCUGAAGGAAAACGGGCAGACUUUUCUCUUCAAAAUGUGACAGUCAACGAUUUUGGAAAUCGUUUCUGGAAACUGCAGAGUUGUCUACCACCAGAUAAAGGCUCCUUUCUUGACCUCCCACCCAAUAACCACCUUGAAAUCUUGGUAACAGUUUUCCCAGGUGCCACAUUGGGGGAUUACACCAAGGUUAACCUCAUCCCACUGUGUCUCAUUACCAUGUUUCUGAUUAUCACUGGGAUUUUGCUGGCUGAAGCCUGGUAUAGCCAGGAGGAUUCUCCACAAGGAUCCACAUUAAACAGCUAAGUACUUUUUUUUUUCUUGGGCUUCUGUAGUGAUACAGGGUUCUUUAAGCACCGAACUAUCAUGGAGACUUUGUUUCUCAGUAGAAGAGCCAAUGGCCUUUAGGUGAGAUUAUUUCUUUACCAUGUUUGAUUGUCCCAUUGGUUAUAGAAACACUUAGCAUCUAUUUUCCCUCCCUGUAAAACACCAACUAAAACCGACAUUAAAGGUGGAAGGAAAAAAAAAACAAACAAGUACUGUUUACUUUCUCAGACAUCCCUAGAUAUAGAUGAUGCGGAGCAGGGUAUUUCUGGUGGAUAACCUGUGUUUGGAGGCCAGGAGAAAUAAUCUUUCUCUUCCUCCCUCCCCUGACCUCUCUCUGUCCUUCUGUACUUAUAGGCUCCUUAGCUGCCCAGGGGAAUGAUGGGUGUUGAUCCAGUUAAACCCACUGACCUUGAACAGCUUCCAGUGGAACAUUCAUUCUCACCCCUGUUGAGAGGUACUUGAGGACAAGAUGAUGGUUUCCUCUUCGGUACUCCUCAGCUGGGGCAGAGGACAGACCUGGGCAUAAAGAUUAAUCCAACAAAAUAUUAAUUAAUAUUAAUUAAUUAAAAUCAACAGAACAUCUUUUCCCUACUGAUAUACCAUUUCUGCCAUAAAGCAAACUUCCAUUAAGUGUGUGGAUCUGUUUCUGGGAUCCUUAUUUAUUUGGUCAAUGUGGCUUUACCGUGCAUUUUCCUGACAGCUAAUGUCAUUGAACAUCUUCUCAUGUACUACUGGAUAUAUACAUAUAUUCCUAAUAAAGUAUCCAAUUAAAUAUUUUGCCCAUUUUAAGUAGGCUCCACACCCAGCAUGAAGCCCAAUGUGGGGCUUGAACUCACGACCCUGAGAUCAAGAUCUGUGCUGAGAUCAAGAGUCAGACACUUAACUGGCUGAGCCACCCAUGCUUCCCAACUCUGCCCAUUUUUAAAUUGGGU